rnacentral:rRNA from 1 species
CGUAGGGUGCGAGCGUUAAUCGGAAUUACUGGGCGUAAAGCGUGCGCAGGCGGUUUUGUAAGACAGAUGUGAAAUCCCCGGGCUCAACCUGGGACCUGCAUUUGUGACUGCAAGGCUAGAGUACGGUAGAGGGGUUGGAAUUCCGCGUGUAGCAGUGAAAUGCGUAGAUAUGCGGAGGAACACCGAUGGCGAAGGCAAUCCCCUGGACCUGUACUGACGCUCAUGCACGAAAGCGUGGGGAGCAAACAGGAUUAGAUACCCUGGUAGUCCACGCCCUAAACGAUGUCAACUGGUUGUUGGGUCUUUACUGACUCAGUAACGAAGCUAACGCGUGAAGUUGACCGCCUGGGGAGUACGGCCGCAAGGUUG